rnacentral:rRNA from 1 species
GACGAACGCUGGCGGCGUGCUUAACACAUGCAAGUCGAACGGAAAGGCCCUGCUUUUGUGGGGUGCUCGAGUGGCGAACGGGUGAGUAACACGUGAGUAACCUGCACUUGACUUUGGGGUAACUUCAGGAAACUGGGGCUAAUACCGGAUAGGAGCUCCUGCUGCAUGGUGGGGGUUGGAAAGUUUCGGCGGUUGGGGAUGGACUCGCGGCUUAUCAGCUUGUUGGUGGGGUAGUGGCUUACCAAGGCUUUGACGGGUAGCCGGCCUGGGAGGGUGACCGGCCACAUUGGUACUGAGAUACGGACCAGACUCCUACGGGAGGCAGCAGUGGAGAAUAUUGCACAAUGGGCGGAAGCCUGAUGCAGCAACGCCGCGUGCGGGAUGACGGCCUUCGGGUUGUAAACCGCUUUCGCCUGUGACGAAGCGUGAGUGACGGUAAUGGGUAAAGAAGCACCGGCUAACUACGUG